CACAGGUUGGUGAGGUUCUUGUGUACGCGUAGAGUGGUGUGGAAUUAAACAGCUCACCAUUGCCGGCUGCUGCUCGUACGGGAACACCAUCGCCAGCUGCUUCACGUUCACGGAUCACUGUCGCCGUUCACCACGUUCGCAGCCGUUCACGCCACGCCGUUCACUGCCACCCGCUACCGCCCGCCACCGCCGGACAAUCCCACGUUCUUCCCGGAGCCGCGAUGUCUCACAUUCCGCCAUCUCAGUCCCGCCGCCGGCCGGCUCAGGUCGCCCAGCUUGAUCGAGGUAUGGGCUAUUUUAGGCCGUUUCGUUGCUCGGGUAGUGGUCUGGCGGGUUGUGGAGGGCUCGUUCUUGGUGGCCGUUUGUUAGGUGGUUGCUUUUGCUCAGGAUCAAAAGCGCAGAAGACCUUACCCGCUAGUUCUACCCCGGUAGCCACUUUGCCCAUGGGCUCUUCUUCUGGUAAUGCACAGGACCCGGAACAGGCGGUCGCCUUUCCUAGCAUGCAUACUCGUGCGUUGGGUAAGGUACUCGUGGACGCUAAUAAGCUGUUAACAGCCGGCUAGCGACGCAUGGUCAUAGCCAUGGGGUUUGGAGCGAUGCUCAAUUUCCAGAUCACAGACACUCCAUUGCGCCUUGGCUAUUGGCUACUCUCAAAUUUGGACCUCCACUGAAUGUCAUUGAAGUUGCCGAAUGGUGUCCAAGAUUAUGUUUGUUUAGCUUUGUUAUUUAUGUUCAUAAGUGGAUAAAUGACUACACAAUUUUACUGUGCAAUGUGACAUGUCCUUCUGUGCAAAUGGCUAUUGGUUGUGACUGUCACGGGGUGAAAGAAUGCAGUGGCAACUUCUGUGCACUAUAGCUAUUCAAUUGUGCUCAUACUAAAACGGUAUCCAAUAUUAUGGAAAGUAGAUUCUUCCACUUA